rnacentral:rRNA from 1 species
GUGGGGAAUCUUGCGCAAUGGGCGAAAGCCUGACGCAGCCAUGCCGCGUGAAUGAUGAAGGUCUUAGGAUUGUAAAAUUCUUUCACCGGGGACGAUAAUGACGGUACCCGGAGAAGAAGCUCCGGCUAACUUCGUGCCAGCAGCCGCGGUAAUACGAAGGGGGCUAGCGUUGCUCGGAAUUACUGGGCGUAAAGGGCGCGUAGGCGGACAGCUUAGUCAGAGGUGAAAGCCCAGGGCUCAACCUUGGAAUUGCCUUUGAUACUGGCUGUCUUGAGUUUGGGAGAGGUGAGUGGAACUCCGAGUGUAGAGGUGAAAUUCGUAGAUAUUCGGAAGAACACCAGUGGCGAAGGCGACUCACUGGCCUAGAACUGACGCUGAAGCGCGAAAGCGUGGGGAGCGAACAGGAUUAGAUACCCGAGUAGUCC